rnacentral:rRNA from 1 species
GACGAACGCUGGCGGCGUGCUUAACACAUGCAAGUCGAACGGAAAGGCCCAGCUUGCUGGGUGCUCGAGUGGCGAACGGGUGAGUAACACGUGGGUGAUCUGCCCCUAACUUCGGGAUAAGCUUGGGAAACUGGGUCUAAUACCGGAUAGGACAAUCGUUUAGUGUCGGUUGUGGAAAGUUUUUUCGGUUAGGGUUGAGCCCGCGGCCUAUCAGCUUGUUGGUGGGGUAAUGGCCUACCAAGGCGUCGACGGGUAGCCGGCCUGAGAGGGUGGACGGCCACAUUGGGACUGAGAUACGGCCCAGACUACUACGGGAGGCAGCAGUGGGGAAUAUUGCACAAUGGGCGCAAGCCUGAUGCAGCGACGCCGCGUGGGGGAUGACGGCCUUCGGGUUGUAAACCUCUUUCGACAGGGACGAAGCUUUGGUGACGGUACCUGUAUAAGAAGCACCGGCUAAAUACGUG